rnacentral:rRNA from 1 species
UACGAAGGGGGCUAGCGUUGUUCGGAAUUACUGGGCGUAAAGCGCACGUAGGCGGAUUGUUAAGUUAGGGGUGAAAUCCCAGGGCUCAACCCUGGAACUGCCUUUAAUACUGGCAAUCUCGAGUCCGAGAGAGGUGAGUGGAAUUCCGAGUGUAGAGGUGAAAUUCGUAGAUAUUCGGAGGAACACCAGUGGCGAAGGCGGCUCACUGGCUCGGUACUGACGCUGAGGUGCGAAAGCCAGGGGAGCAAACGGG